GAUGAACGCUGGCGGCGUGCUUAACACAUGCCAGUCGAACGGAAAGGCCCAAGCUUGCUUGGGUACUCGAGUGGCGAACGGGUGAGUAACACGUGGGUGAUCUGCCCUGCACUUCGGGAUAAGCCUGGGAAACUGGGUCUAAUACCGGAUAGGACCACAUUUUGGAUGGGGUGGUGGAAAGUUUUUCGGUGUGGGAUGAGCUCGCGGCCUAUAAGCUUGUUGGUGGGGUAAUGGCCUACCAAGGCGUCGACGGGUAGCCGGCCUGAGAGGGUGUACGGCCACAUUGGGACUGAGAUACGGCCCAGACUCCUACGGGAGGCAGCAGUGGGGAAUAUUGCACAAUGGGCGCAAGCCUGAUGCAGCGACGCCGCGUGGGGGAUGACGGCCUUCGGGUUGUAAACUCCUUUCGCUAGGGACGAAGCGUUUUUGUGACGGUACCUGGAGAAGAAGCACCGGCUAACUACGUG
rnacentral:rRNA from 1 species